rnacentral:misc_RNA from 1 species
GAUGAAGAACGUAGCGAAAUGCGAUAAGUAAUGUGAAUUGCAGAAUUCAGUGAAUCAUCGAAUCUUUGAACGCACAUUGCGCCCUUUGGUAUUCCAAAGGGCAUGCCUGUUCGAGCGUCAUUUGUACCCUCAAGCUUUGCUUGGUGUUGGGCGUCUUGUCUCUAGCUUUGCUGGAGACUCGCCUUAAAGUAAUUGGCAGCCGGCCUACUGGUUUCGGAGCGCAGCACAAGUCGCACUCUCUAUCAGCAAAGGUCUAGCAUCCAUUAAGCCUUUUUUUCAACUUUUGACCUCGGAUCAGGUAGGGAUACCCGCUGAACUUAAGCAUAUCAAUAAGCGAGGA